rnacentral:rRNA from 1 species
UACAGAGGGGGCAAGCGUUGUUCGGAAUUACUGGGCGUAAAGGGCGCGUAGGCGGCCUGCUAAGUCGAACGUGAAAUCCCCGGGCUCAACCCGGGAACUGCGUCCGAUACUGGCAGGCUUGAAUUCGGGAGAGGGAUGCGGAAUUCCAGGUGUAGCGGUGAAAUGCGUAGAUAUCUGGAGGAACACCGGUGGCGAAGGCGGCAUCCUGGACCGGCAUUGACGCUGAGGAGCGAAAGCCAGGGGAGCAAACGGG